AUUGAACGCUGGCGGCAUGCCUAACACAUGCAAGUCGAGCGAAUGAAGGGGGCUUUCGCCUUGAUGCAGCGGCGGACGGGUGGGUAAUGCCUAGGAAGCUGCCUGGUAUUUAGGGAUAGCGUACGUAAAGGGACGCUAAUACCGCAUACGUCAUGAUUUUGAACGGGAUGGUUCUUCGGACCUCACGCUAUCAGCUGAGCCUAAGUUGUAUUAGCUAGUUGGUUGGGUAACGGCUUACCAAGGCGACGAUCCGUAACUGGCCUGAGAGGCUGAUCAGCCACACUGGAACUGAGACACGGUCCAGACUCCUACGGGAGGCAGCAGUAGGGAAUCUUGCACAAAGGGCGAAAGCCUGACCGAGCAACGCCGCGUGAGUGAUGAAGGUCUUCGGAUCGUAAAGCUCUUUAAGUUGGGAGGAAGGGAAGUAAGAGUAACUCUUGAUGUCUUGACGUUACCAACAGAAAAAGCCACGGCUAACUACGUG
rnacentral:rRNA from 1 species